GUUUGAUGUUCUAACGUUGGCCCCUAAUCGGGGUUGCGGACAGUGUCUGGUGGGUAGUUUGACUGGGGCGGUCUCCUCCUAAAGAGUAACGGAGGAGCACGAAGGUUGGCUAAUCCUGGUCGGACAUCAGGAGGUUAGUGCAAUGGCAUAAGCCAGCUUGACUGCGAGCGUGACGGCGCGAGCAGGUGCGAAAGCAGGUCAUAGUGAUCCGGUGGUUCUGAAUGGAAGGGCCAUCGCUCAACGGAUAAAAGGUACUCCGGGGAUAACAGGCUGAUACCGCCCAAGAGUUCAUAUCGACGGCGGUGUUUGGCACCUCGAUGUCGGCUCAUCACAUCCUGGGGCUGAAGUAGGUCCCAAGGGUAUGGCUGUUCGCCAUUUAAAGUGGUACGCGAGCUGGGUUUAGAACGUCGUGAGACAGUUCGGUCCCUAUCUGCCGUGGGCGCUGGAGAACUGAGGGGGGCUGCUCCUAGUACGAGAGGACCGGAGUGGACGCAUCACUGGUGUUCGGGUUGUCAUGCCAAUGGCACUGCCCGGUAGCUAAAUGCGGAAGAGAUAAGUGCUGAAAGCAUCUAAGCACGAAACUUGCCCCG
rnacentral:rRNA from 1 species